rnacentral:rRNA from 1 species
CCUACGGGAGGCAGCAGUGAGGAAUAUUGGUCAAUGGCCGGAAGGCUGAACCAGCCAAGCCGCGUGAAGGACGAAGGUGCCAAGCAUUGUAAACUUCUUUUGUCAAGGGACAAAAUCAGGCUCGAGAGCCUGACCGAGGGUACUUGAAGAAAAAGCAUCGGCUAACUCCGUGCCAGCAGCCGCGGUAAUACGGAGGAUGCGAGCGUUAUCCGGUUUUAUUGGGUUUAACGGGUGCGUAGCGGGACUGUUAAGUCAGCGGUAAAACCCCGGGGCUCAACCCCGGCGAGCCGUUGAAACUGGCAGUCUUGAGAUGUCGAGAGGUAUGCGGAAUGCGCAGUGUAGCGGUGAAAUGCUUAGAUAUUGCGCAGAACUCCGAUUGCGAAGGCAGCAUACCGGCGGCGAUCUGACGCUGAGGCACGAAAGCGUGGGUAUCGAACAGGAUUAGAUACCCCAGUAGUC